AUUCAUAAUAAAGUUUAAGGUCUGGCAGGGCAAAUCCACCUCUUUCCUUUGCAUCUGUUAGUAUUUUAAAUUUUAUUCUGGGCUUCUUGCCCUGCCAGACAAAUCUAGAAAUAUCUCUCUGCCACCUCUUGAAACAGUCCAUUUUGUCCACAAUUUGCAGUGUUUGAAACAAAAACGACAUUCUAGGCAAUACAUUCAUUUUUACCGCAGCAAUACGGCCCAGCAGUGAAAGCUUCAAAUUUGACCAAAUUUCUAAAUCUUUUUUCACUUCAGCCCAACAUUUUUCAUAGUUAUCUUUAAAUAAAUUCACAUUUUUUGCUGUCAUGUUAAUCCCCAGGUAUUUAACUUUCUUAACCACUGUUAAACCUGUCACAUUCUGAAACCUCUCUCUCUCCAUUGGUGUUAGAUUUUUCUCUAAAACCUUAGUUUUUAACUUGUUCAAUUUAAAUCCUGCAACCUGACCAAAUUCUUGAAUCAGUUCUAAAACCCUUUUGGUACUAGAUUCUGGCUCCUGUAACGUCAGUACUAAAUCAUCUGCAAAUGCUCUCAAUUUGUACUG